rnacentral:rRNA from 1 species
ACGCUGGCGGCGUGCCUAAUAUAUGCAAGUAGAACGCUGAAGAGAGGAGCUUGCUCUUCUUGGAUGAGUUGCGAACGGGUGAGUAACGCGUAGGUAACCUGCCUUGUAGCGGGGGAUAACUAUUGGAAACGAUAGCUAAUACCGCAUAACAAUAGGUGACACAUGUCAUUUAUUUGAAAGGGGCAAUUGCUCCACUACAAGAUGGACCUGCGUUGUAUUAGCUAGUAGGUGAGGUAACGGCUCACCUAGGCGACGAUACAUAGCCGACCUGAGAGGGUGAUCGGCCACACUGGGACUGAGACACGGCCCAAACUCCUACGGGAGGCAGCAGUAGGGAAUCUUCGGCAAUGGGGGCAACCCUGACCGAGCAACGCCGCGUGAGUGAAGAAGGUUUUCGGAUCGUAAAGCUCUGUUGUAAGUCAAGAACGAGUGUGAGAGUGGAAAGUUCACACUGUGACGGUAGCUUACCAGAAAGGGACGGCUAACUACGUGCCAGCAGCCGCGGUAAUACGUAGGUCCCGAGCGUUGUCCGGAUUUAUUGGGCGUAAAGCGAGCGCAGGCGGUUUGAUAAGUCUGAAGUUAAAGGCUGUGGCUCAACCAUAGUUCGCUUUGGAAACUGUCAAACUUGAGUGCAGAAGGGGAGAGUGGAAUUCCAUGUGUAGCGGUGAAAUGCGUAGAUAUAUGGAGGAACACCGGUGGCGAAAGCGGCUCUCUGGUCUGUAACUGACGCUGAGGCUCGAAAGCGUGGGGAGCGAACAGGAUUAGAUACCCUGGUAGUCCACGCCGUAAACGAUGAGUGCUAGGUGUUGGAUCCUUUCCGGGAUUCAGUGCCGCAGCUAACGCAUUAAGCACUCCGCCUGGGGAGUACGACCGCAAGGUUGAAACUCAAAGGAAUUGACGGGGGCCCGCA